rnacentral:rRNA from 2 species
AGCCUGAUCCAGCCAUGCCGCGUGCAGGAUGACGGUCCUAUGGAUUGUAAACUGCUUUUGUACAGGAAGAAACAGUUCUACGUGUAGAACCUUGACGGUACUGUAAGAAUAAGGAUCGGCUAACUCCGUGCCAGCAGCCGCGGUAAUACGGAGGAUCCAAGCGUUAUCCGGAAUCAUUGGGUUUAAAGGGUCCGUAGGCGGUUAGAUAAGUCAGUGGUGAAAGCCCAUCGCUCAACGGUGGAACGGCCAUUGAUACUGUCUGACUUGAAUUAUUAGGAAGUAACUAGAAUAUGUAGUGUAGCGGUGAAAUGCUUAGAGAUUACAUGGAAUACCAAUUGCGAAGGCAGGUUACUACUAAUGGAUUGACGCUGAUGGACGAAAGCGUGGGUAGCGAACAGGAUUAGAUACCCUGGUAGUCCACGCCGUAAACGAUGGAUACUAGCUGUUGGGCGCAAGUUCAGUGGCUAAGCGAAAGUGAUAAGUAUCCCACCUGGGGAGUACGUUCGCAAGAAUGAAACUCAAAGGAAUUGACGGGGGCCCGCACAAGCGGUGGAGCAUGUGGUUUAAUUCGAUGAUACGCGAGGAACCUUACCAAGGCUUAAAUGUAGUUUGACCGGUUUGGAAACAGAUCUUUC